rfam:Helobdella robusta unplaced genomic scaffold HELROscaffold_60, whole genome shotgun sequence.
UUUAGCUACGGAGACGUAUUCCCUCGAACCUUCUGGGGUAAGGUUGUAGGUGCCAUCUGUUGCGUUUGCGGAGUGUUAGUUGUUGCGCUGCCCAUUCCUAUCAUUGUGAACAAC